rnacentral:rRNA from 1 species
AGUGAACGCUGGCGGUAGGCCUAACACAUGCAAGUCGAACGGCAGCACAGUAAGAGCUUGCUCUUACGGGUGGCGAGUGGCGGACGGGUGAGGAAUACAUCGGAAUCUACUUUUUCGUGGGGGAUAACGUAGGGAAACUUACGCUAAUACCGCAUACGACCUACGGGUGAAAGCAGGUGAUCUUCGGACCUUGCGCGAUUGAAUGAGCCGAUGUCGGAUUAGCUGGUUGGCGGGGUAAAGGCCCACCAAGGCGACGAUCCGUAGCUGGUCUGAGAGGAUGAUCAGCCACACUGGAACUGAGACACGGUCCAGACUCCUACGGGAGGCAGCAGUGGGGAAUAUUGGACAAUGGGCGCAAGCCUGAUCCAGCCAUACCGCGUGGGUGAAGAAGGCCUUCGGGUUGUAAAGCCCUUUUGUUGGGAAAGAAAAGCAGCAGGUUAAUACCCCGCUGUUCUGACGGUACCCAAAGAAUAAGCACCGGCUAACUUCGUG